rnacentral:misc_RNA from 1 species
UCCGGUUUAACACCGGCAGUCUCCUCAGAGUGCCCAACUUAAUGCUGGCAACUAAGGACAAGGGUUGCGCUCGUUGCGGGACUUAACCCAACAUCUUACGACACGAGCUGACGACAGCCAUGCAGCACCUAUCUCUCUGUCCCCGAAGGGAACCUUGCAUCUCUGCAAGUGUCAGAGGAUGUUAAGCCCAGGUAAGGUUCUGCGCGUUGCUUCGAAUUAAACCACAUACUCCACCGCUUGUGCGGGCCCCCGUCAAUUCCUUUGAGUUUUAGCCUUGCGACCGUACUCCCCAGGCGGGAUACUUAAUGCGUGAGCUCCGGUACCCAGGAGGUUAACAUCCCGGACACCUAGUAUCCAUCGUUUACGGCGUGGACUAC